AAAGCGUUAGGAGAUAUUGUGGGCGCAAAGCCUUUAAGCGAUGGGGCACUCUUUGUGUUUUGUAAAGAUAGUAAACAACAUGAGAAAAGGUUAGAAGCUGUGGGAAGAAGGAAAGUAACAUCAAGAAAUUAUAUUGAACAGCUGUGGCUUUGAAGAGUAAUUACAGGAGCACUUCUAGAUGUAUUCAUGAUCCAAAUUAAAAAUUAUUUAAUCAGGAAAAAGUUGUAGACCCUAAAUGUUUCAACAUGUUGCACAGUGGAGUAAGAACUGAUAGCUAACUUUGAUGGAAUAAAGUUGCCAAAUCUCGUUAACUUAGGCUAUAUAAGUUGUAUGAUGCUGCCCUCUCUGAGACUCCUUUAGUGCCAGGAGAUUGGUCACGUUGUAACUGUGUUUAGGGGUAAGAGGCAGUGUUAUAUUUGUGGUGGAGAACAUUAUUAUGGUUAUUGUGGAAAAGGUAUUAGGUCAAAAUGUAGCAGUUGUGGAGGAAACAUAGAUUAGCUUAUGCACGGUGUCCUAUAUAUAAGAAAGCUGUGGAAUUGGAAUGUGCUUGAGUAGAAAUGGGCAUACUGUAUCAUAUGCAGGGGCUUUUCAAAAAUAUAGAAGUCCAUGUCAAUGGUAUCUAUUAACAUCCAGAAUACAAGUAAAUCAAAGUCAGUGUGUAAAGUGCAUGAUUUUUACAAAGGAUUUGUUGAUAAACUAAAAUUUGUUAGUUUCAUGGCAGAUGUGGUACAGCACAAACUUAAAAAGAUAGUAUUUUCUGGAAGGAAAGUAUUUGGUGUGCUUGAAUGGUGUUCAACAGGUUGUGUAACACACCUUACGUUGGUCUGCCAACUACCAUUGAACAUUACUAGCAGAAGAAAAAGGGCAUAAGUAAGUUACUCCAAAUAUUGCCAGGCAGCAGCUACUGGCAGGUCACCCAUCUCAAACAUCUUGCUUCUUUGCUUGCAAUAUAUGCCAUCAACAAAUUGCACUCCAUGCCAAGACCUCUUCAACAGCACUGCCAAAACUGCCACCAGAAAAGCAGGAGUUAAGUUUAUGGGAAUGCCACUGCUAGUUAAUUCCCUUCUAAGGUCCUGAGUUGGAAAUGUAUUGUCAUACAAUGGGGGUUAAAUUCAAGAACCCUAUAAUUAACACUUUAGAAUGUUUUUCACUGGAAUCACUGUUGUAGUUGAAGGAAUCACAUCAAUGUACUCCUUAAAAUAUAAUUAAUAUGUAUUCUGCCUGGGUAGUUUACAACUGAACAGCAUGAACUUUGAAUUCUCUAACUUCCAGUAAAUGCUUCCCCCUCUAUUCCCUUCUUUUUCUCCUCCAGAUACACCCAACUCUUCCUACACUUAUCCCAGCCCCCAUCACCCUGUUUCCCUCCUUCCUGUGUCCUCUCUAACACUCACAGUUUCUUCCCACUGGAUCCCUUCCCCAUUAAUACCCUCUGUCUUCCUCACACCUCUCACUUAAUUCCAUGCACCACCUUCCCCUCCAAUCAGAUUUCAUCAUCUUCAGCUCUAUGUCUCCUCCACCUAUCACCUCCCACCUUCUGUUGCUAUUUCCACUCUUCCCUUCUCCACUAUUGCCCCUCUUUAUCUGGAUCCACUUAUUGCCUGCCAGAUCCUGCUCCACCUCUUUUUAGUAGCUAGCUUCACUCUGUUAUUCAGUCCUGAUGAAGGGUUUCAGCCUGAAAUGUUCGAAGUAAAUUUAUUAUCAAAGUAUAUAUAUGUUACCAUACACUACCUUGAGAUUUGUUUUCUUGCAGGCAUUUACAGGAAAAAUACAAUAGAAUUUUAUAAAAGGCAAAGACUGACAAGCAACAAAUGUGCAAAAAAAGAGCCACUAUCCUGUCAAUAAAUAUCCAGCACCGAUCAAGAAAGAAGAGACGCUCUUAACACUUUCACAGCUUCAGGACUCCACCAAGGCUAUAAAAAUAAUUUUAAGAAAUCUUCCUUGGUAGUCUCUUGAGAUGGAGAAUGACUCGCUUCUAGGCCAGCUCUAUAGGUUCUGAAGAAACUCUCCCCACGAUGACAGGAGCUCCCUGAUGAGUCAGGCAGGAGUUGGUGAGCAGCCUCCUGACCCCACAAUGGAAGAUCAAAUGCUCUCUUGAACUCAACUACAAAUUGCUGGAAAGACGGGGCUGCAAGGGAAUCUUGUUCCUGUAGAGCGAUGAACAGGCUGAGCGGGAGUCCACCUAAAAGAUUCACCUUGUCAGCCUGUUUACACACAUCAUCACAGAACCAUCCUGGCUGGGCUUGGAAAAUUCCUGUGAUCAUUGCGGUCACCAAAGUAUCUGCCAGAGGAGGAAUAUUCAGUUCUGGUCCGGACUCUAUCACGGGAGUUGCGGCAUGGUGGCUGAGGUGAAUAAGAUUGUUAUAAAAGAGGAAGAAGGAGGUGCUGAUGCUGGGAGUGGGACUGCCUUGGCUGGAGGCUGUUGAAUUGUGGGAGCAAGAGCAGUAAAGACUGCCAUCUGAUUCUGGCUGUCAGUAGUGAGCUGUUGAACAGCGGCAGAGAGCACAGUAAUGGCUGCCACUUGAUUCUGGCUGACCAUGGUGAGUUGCUGAACAGUGACAGAGAGCAUGGUAAUGGUUGCUGUCUGAUUCUGGCUGUCUGUGGUGAGCAGCUGAAAUGUUGCUGUGAGUGCUAAAAUCUGUGCUUCCUGCUUGAACUGAGCUUGCACCUCUAGUUCUUAUGGCUUUUUGAGCACCUUCUCCCUUGUAAUAGUCAUCCAGACCAGAUGAACUGCACACUAGGGUUCUGAAAGAGGUAACAGGAGAGAUUGUUGAGGCACUCUAAUGAUCUUCCAAAAAUCAUUGGACUCUGGCAUGGUGCCAGAGGACUGGAAAAUUGCAAAUAUCACUCCACUCUUUAAGAAAGGAUGGAGGCAACAGAAAGGAAUCUAUAGACCAGUUAGCCUGACCUUAGUGGUUGGGAAGAUGUUGGAGCCAGUUGUUAAGGAUAAGGUUAUGGAGUACUUGGUGACACAGGACAAGAUAAGACAAAGUCAGCAUGGUUUCCUUAAGGGAAAGUCUUGCCUGACAAACUUGUGGAAUUCUUUGAGGAGAUGACAAGUAGGAUAGAUAAAGAAGAUGCAGUGGAUGUUGUAUAUUUGGAUUUUCAGAAAGCCUUUGACAAUGUGCGACACAUGCAGUUGCUUAACAAGUUAAGACCCCACUUGGAGUAUUGUGCUCAGUUCUGGUUGCCUCACUGCAGGAAUGGUGUGGAAGCCAUAGAAGGGUGCAGAGGAGAUUUACAAGGAUGUUGCCUGGAUUGGGGAGCAUGCCUUAUGAAAACAGGUUGAGUGAACUCAGCCUUUUCUCCUUGGAGUGAUGAGAGGUGACCUGAUAAAGAUGUAUAAGAUGAUGAGAGGCAUUGAUCGUAUGGAUAGUCAGAGGCUUUUUCCCAGGGCUGAAAUGGUUGCCAGAAGAGGACACAGGUUUAAGGUGCUGGGGAGUAGGUACAGAGGAGAUGUCGGGGGUAAAUUUUUUUACUUAGAGAGUGGUGAGUGCGUGGAAUGGGCUGCCGGCAACAGUGGUGGAGGUGGAUAUGAUAGGGUCUUUUAAGAGACUUUUAGAUAGGUACAUGGAGUUUCGAAUAAUAGAGGGCUAUGGGUAAGUCUAGUAAUUUCUAAGGUAGGGACGUGUUUGGCACAACUUUGUGGGCCAAAGGAUGAGUAUUGUGCUAUAGGUUUUCUAUGUUUCCAUGGUAUUACAGGAAAGUUAUUAACAUGGUUGGAACAUUAGUUGAUUGAUAAGAGGCAGUGAGUGGGAAUCAAAGUAUCCUUUACUCAUUGGCUGCCAGUGACUAGUGGUGAUCUGCAGAAGUGUUAGGACUUCUUUUUAUGCUGUAUAUAAAUAAUUUAGAUGAUGGAAUAGAUGGAUUUUUUGCCAAGUUUGUAGAUCAUAUGAAGAUCGGUGAAGGGGCAGGUAGUGUUGAAGAAACAGGAAGGCUGCAGAAGGACUUAGACAGAUUAGGAGAAUGAGCAAGAAAGUGGCAAAUGAAAUACAAUGUUGGAAAAUGCAUGGUCAUGCACUUUGGUAGUAGAAAUAAAUGUGUGGACUAUUUUCUAAACAGGAAGAAUAUCCAAAAAUCUGAGAUGCAGAAGGAUUUGGGAGUCCUUGUGCAGUGAGGUUAACUUGCAGGUAGAGUCAGUGGUGAGGAAGGCAAAUGCAAUGUUUGCAUUCAUUUCAAGAGGUUUAGAAUACAAAAACAGGGACGUGAUGCUGAGGCUUUAUAAGGUACUGGUAACGCCCAUCUUGAGUAUUUUGAACAGUCUGCGUCACAACCACAGAUUUGGCAACGCAGCAAAUGUGACAAUUGUGCUCAUGAAUAUGCACGUGUUAGUUAAUUAUUACAUAUUUCAUUGUGAUAAUAUUUAACUCCAUUCAUUCCGUCAUAGUAUUUGUUGCGACUUUGAUACAGCAACAUUGCACUGCCUGCAUUCUGCCUUGCCUGAGAAAUUGGACUGUUGAGUCAACUGACACUGCAGACUAGCGGUAUUCGUUUUAUUAUUAGUUGUUCUUUUCAGCCACAGUGUAGGCUUCAUUUUCCAUUUGAGAGUUUGAGUUA